AACGAACGCUGGCGGCAUGCCUAACACAUGCAAGUCGAACGAGACCUUCGGGUCUAGUUGCGCACGGGUUCGUAACGCGUGGGAACCUUCCCUUAGGUUCGGAAUAACUCCCCGAAGGGGGUGCUAAUACCGGAUAAUGUCUUCGGACCAAAGAUGUAUCGCCUUUGGAUGGGCCCGCGUUGGAUUAGCUAGUUGGUAGGGUAAAAGCCUACCAAGGCUACGAUCCAUAGCUGGUGUGAGAGGAUGAUCAGCCACACUGGGACUGAGACACGGCCCAGACUCCUACGGGAGGCAGCAGUGGGGAAUAUUGGACGAUGGGCGAGAGCCUGAUCCAGCAAUGCCGCGUGAGUGAUGAAGGCCUUAGGGUUGUAAAGCUCUUUUACCCGGGAUGAUAAUGACAGUACCGGGAGAAUAAGCGCCGGCUAACUCCGUG
rnacentral:rRNA from 1 species